rnacentral:rRNA from 1 species
UACGUAGGGGGCAAGCGUUGUCCGGAAUCAUUGGGCGUAAAGAGCGUGUAGGCGGCUUGGUAAGUCCGCUGUGAAAGUCCAGGGCUCAACCCUGGAAUGCCGGUGGAAACUGCCAAGCUAGAGUCCGGAAGAGGCGAGUGGAAUACCAAGUGUAGCGGUGAAAUGCGUAGAGAUUUGGUGGAACACCGGUGGCGAAGGCGGCUAUCUGGCUCACAACUGACGAUCAGGCACGAAAGCGUGGGGAGCAAACAGG